AUCAGGUAGGAAUACCCGCUGAACUUAAGCAUAUCAAUAAGCGGGGAGGAAAA
rnacentral:rRNA from 1 species